rnacentral:rRNA from 1 species
CUGACACAGGUGCUGCAUGGCUGUCGUCAGCUCGUGUCGUGAGAUGUUGGGUUAAGUCCCGCAGCGAGCGCAACCCUUGUCUUAUGUUGCCAGCACGUGAUGGUGGGGACUCGUAAGAGACUGCCGGGGUCAACUCGGAGGAAGGUGGGGACGACGUCAAGUCAUCAUGCCCCUUAUGUCCAGGGCUUCACACAUGCUACAAUGGCCAGUACAGAGGGCUGCGAGACCGUGAGGUGGAGCGAAUCCCUUAAAGCUGGUCUCAGUUCGGAUCGGGGUCUGCAACUCGACCCCGUGAAGUCGGAGUCGCUAGUAAUCGCAGAUCAGCAACGCUGCGGUGAAUACGUUCCCGGGCCUU